AAAUGAAUAGACGGGGACCCGCACAAGCGGUGGAGCGUGUUGUUUAAUUCGAUGGUAAACGAAGAACCUUACCCAGGUUUGACAUCCUUGGAAUCUUCCCGAAAGGGAAGAGUGCUUUUAGAACCAAGUGACAGGUGUUGCAUGGCCGUCGUCAGCUCGUGUCGUGAGAUGUUUGGUUAAGUCCAUCAACGAGCGCAACCCUUGUGGUCUGUUGUAUUUUUCAGGCCAAACUGCCCUGGUAACAGGGAGGAAGGAGGGGAUGAUGUCAGGUCAGUAUUACCCUUACAUCUGGGGCUACAAACACGCUACAAUGGCCGGUACAAAGGGCAGCCAAGUCGCAAGACGGAGCAAAUCCCAUCAAAACCGGUCUCAGUUCGGAUAGCAGGCUGAAACUCGCCUGCUUGAAGCCGGAAUCGCUAGUAACGGUAGGUCAGCUAUACUACCGUGAAUACGUUCCCGGGUCUUGUACACACCGCCCGU
rnacentral:rRNA from 1 species